rnacentral:rRNA from 1 species
GAUGAACGCUGGCGGCGUGCCUAAUACAUGCAAGUCGAGCGAACAGACGAGGAGCUUGCUCCUCUGACGUUAGCGGCGGACGGGUGAGUAACACGUGGAUAACCUACCUAUAAUACUGGGAUAACUUCGGGAAACCGGAUCUAAUACCGGAGAAUAUAUUGAACCGCAUGGUUCAAUAGUGAAAGACGGUUUUGCUGUCACGUAUAGAUGGAUCCGCGCCGCAUUAGCUAGUUGGUAAGGUAACGCCUUACCAAGGCAACGAUGCGUAGCCGACCUGAGAGGGUGAUCAGCCACACUGGAACUGAGACACGGUCCAGACUCCUACGGGAGGCAGCAGUAGGGAAUCUUGCGCAAUGGGCGCAAGCCUGACGGAGCCAUGCCGCGUGAGUGAUGAAGGUCUUCGGAUCGUAAAACUCUUUUAUUAGGGAAGAACAAAUGUGUAAGUAAAUAUGCACGUCUUGACGGUACCUAAUCAGAAAGCCACGGCUAACUACGUG